rfam:Anoxybacillus sp. BCO1 LR68_contig000030, whole genome shotgun sequence.
UCCGUGGUGACGCGGAAUCUGAAGGAAGCGAGCGGCAAACUUUCGGUCUGAGGAACACGAACUUCAUACAAGGCUAGGUAUCAUUGGAUGAGUUUGCUAAA